rnacentral:lncRNA from 1 species
GACUACUAAGAGAGCAUUUGUUUCUUAUUUCAAAAUAUCACACCAACAAAUUUAACGGAAAAAAUUAACAAUGUAACAAUUUGACCUAAAUUUUGAAACAUGAAAAAUAGAACAAUUAAAUUUCUGAAAAUAUCAGUACAGGGAUCGAUGGCAUAUUUUAACCAAAUUAACAAUAUAAUCAAGUUAAAUGUUAAAUGCAUAACUUUAGCACUCCACAGCCGACCUGAUCACCGGAUUCAAAUAUGAGACACUAUAUUCGUUGUUGAAACAACUUGAACCAUCUUCUAUUUCAAAUCAAAUACAAAUAUCAAGCUUUUAUCACAUUAUACAAAACAUUCAUUUUGAUUAAAAACAAAUUCAAGUCAUUUUAAACACUUUAGAAUCAUUUUUAAACAAGUUCUAGGUGCUUGGGUAUGAUCGAGACCAAGUUCGGGUCUCCGGGAGUUGAAACAAGUCAAAAUAGGGGAGGGAUCGUAUCUGUAGAAGUCCCUGCUACUGGUUUACUUGUACCGAUACAUCUUAGCACUUGCAUCGGUAGAAGUUUGUCAGGAUCCAAAAAAUACCCUAAAACACACCUCAUUUGACCUAAAACAAUACCAAAUCAUUUCUAAACAUUAUGAAACACUAAAUACAAGUUUUAAACACCAUUUAAGCAUCUUUAAACACAUUCAAACAUAAGCCUUCAAACACGAACAUCACUUUACCAAUUUCAUACUUCAAUUUUAUCUACUUGACAUGGAAGCAACCAAUGACUGAUAGCAUAGCAAUAAUUUAAGAUCAUGCAUCUCAACUUAAUCACAUAAUCAUAUCAUCGAACAUUUAGAUUAUUGAACAUGUUUAACUUGAAUAUUUUGAAGCAUAGAAGAUACCAAGGCAUCAUAAUUGACUCCAAAAACUAAAUUACAACACUAGGUACAAGCCGACUCUAUUUUAGCAUUCAACUUACGAUUCAAACAUUACUGAGCUGAGAUUUGAAACCUGGAUGCUGCCAACCUUCUUGAAUCCAUGAGACCUAAUUGAAAUCUGCGCACAGAAACAAACAAAUCCACACACUAAACAAAAGAGCUCAAUGGUGCUAACAUAAUUCGAAAACAAUGUAUAUAAUAAAAUUUAAACAUAUAAAUUUGAUAUAAAAUCAUUUUUAACAAGUGUAUAUCAAGGAAUCUUUGUUUCAUGUUCUUUACUAAAACUGUCAUACCAAAUUCAUGCUUGAGUUAAGUCUCAUAUAACAUCAUCUCAUUAUGCCUUUAAUGCCAUGCACGAUCAUAUCUAGUAUCAUCAAUUAGAUUUAAGCAUAACAUCAAUACUAUCUCAAUUUAAUUAAUAAUCAUAUGGCAUUCUCAUACCACUAUUGAUAUCUCAACAUCAUGAUUCAAAAGGCAUUUCAUAUAAAAAUAUUCAUUUUCUCAUUUCAUGAUCGAAUCGAUUGAUUCAUUUUAUAACCAUAUCGGCCCUCGGGGCUCGUAAUAUCCGAAUCGCAUGGUUUUUCACAUGCUAUCUUUCCAUGCUUUAAUAAUUCAUUCUCAGUUUCCACAAUCAACAUUUAACAUUAAACUUCUACUGUUAUUAAGCAAAUCACAUGAUUUAUAAUCCCUAUUAACCAAACACAGAGUCAAGAUGGAUACACGGAUCAACCAAUCAUUACACCAAAAUAGCUGACACUCAGUGCAUCAUUGGUACAUUCGAAAUAAUGUGCGCUCUGCGCCUCAUCGGUAUGAACCGAAGUAAUAUAUGUAAAUGUGCCUAGCACCUUAUUAGUAAAAACCAAAAUAAACCCCAUACACUAAUCCUAUAUCAUGCCAACUAUAUCUGACUCUAUCCAAGACAGUUAAAUGUAUUCAAUAUUUCAAAGUAUAUAUGUUCCACAUGUAUAUAUCAAAUUCAUAUCUCUCUAAAAUCAUUUAUCAUUUCAUAACAUUAGUAUUCUUUUACAUUUCAAAUACAAUCAAUAUGGCAAUUCACAUAUCAUUUACAUGUCAAUUUCAUGCUUUUAUAUAUCAUCUACUUAUGCAUUCAUACUUUCACAUAUCAAUAUCACAUUUAUCUCAUAGUUACAUUUUCACAUCAAGAUAAGUAUACAUACAAAUACACAAACUAUCAUCACAUUAUAAUCAUUCAUCAUAUAUACUAUCAUCAUAGCUUUCACAAGUCCACAACCAUAUAAUACUUACCAAAUCAUGAGACAAGUAGGGUCCUUACCUUAAUCAAGCUAUUUUAUAACAAGUCAUAUAUAUAAUAUUCAAAUCAUGAAACCACAAACCAGAUAAAGCUACUCGUCUACAGUUUUCGCCUUUCCUUUAUCCCACGACGUCCCGAGUCUUUAGCUACAUAUGAUAAUUCAAUUAUUGACGCGAUAUUAGUUUUCAUACAAACACAUCAAUUAAACAUAAAUUGCAUUUUACUCAUUUUAGCCCCUAUAAGCCCUAAUAUCCGAAAUGCUUGGAUUUUUCAAUAUCUAAUGUCAAAUCAAAAUUUAAUUUCAUAUUUUUUCAUUAAAGACCCAAAGCUUUCAAUCUACAACAAAAUUUUCUAAACGCUUUCACUUUAUUUAAUUUGACCCCUAAUGUCAUAAAAUUAAUUAUAGGUUUUAGUUGAAUUUCUAAUCAAAUCCAACACUUUUCUCUACUUUCUAACUUAGUCCUAAUAUAAUUUAAGCUAAUCCUUCAAAAAUCUAUUACUAUCAAUUUUAAUUUCAUGAAAACUCAUUAAUGGAAACUUGGAUUUAACUUGACAAUUUGGAAAUCUAAAACAUGGGUAUGCAAGACAAAGCUUAGUUGAUAAAAUAUCUAUAAUAAUCUCAUGAAAAUAACUUGGUUACCUUGGUUAUUUGGGACGGAAAUUUGAAGAAAACUUAACCUUCUUUUUCUCUUUUCUAUUUGGUUUGAGAGGUAGGAGAUAAUAUUUUUGUUUUUCUCUCACCCACUUGCUCACCAUAUAUAUAUAGAUUAACACGGUUAUUAACUUAGUUAACUAAUAAUUAACUAUACUUUAAUAAUAGUUAGUGGGAAGUGUUGACAUACUUAGCACUUAAAUAUUGACAUGAAUCAUAAAUGGCUCAAUAACUCCAAGGUCCCUAGUUUAAUUACUUAUUAAACCCUCAAGCAUUUUCUAAAUUAAAACUUAAUAGCGAUUGCACUUUUACAAUUUAGUCUCUGUACUAUAAUUAAUGAUUUUCUCGAUUUAAUUACUCGACCAUUUAAUAAUAUAUUCUCAUACUAAAUGUGUAAAUCCUCCAUUCAUAAACUCAAUUUAUGGCAUCCAGUUUUGAAAUCACAUUUUUCAACACCAGCUAAAAUCGGGUUGUUACAAUAACUCUCAAUUAAAGCACACUAAAUCAAUAUAAAAAUUCCAUUCAAGCACUAGUUUAAUACACUCACAUCAAUUAUUCAUUACAUAAUUAACUUAGCAUGAAUCGCCAUUAAUAUAUAAAUAGACAAUUUGACAUUCACUUCAUAAAUAAUUAUUAUCAAGUAUCAAGCUAAAUGUUGUCAUGUCAUAUACAUAUAUAAAUAAAAAUAUGCUAAUAUCACCAUUUAGAUGACCAAUGACUAAUCGUAUAGCUCCAUUUUUUUAAUUAAAUUGUCCAAUUUUGCCUAAUACCAAACUAUCAGAAUAAGAUAAUGGAAGUAAGUGACACUGCCUUGCCUAUAAAGUGUUGAAACCAUCUUUGAGGUGUCCAUAUGCAUAUAUCAGUAGCAUCACCUUUAAGGUGUCGUAGACUCGUAGUACCACUCUAAGGUGCAAGCACUGCUAAUUUCUAUCCCAAUUGGCACGCUAAUGUAUCCUUGACCUAUAGUUUAAGUCCAGGCAUUUUACACCCAUAUUAUUUUACGUAGACAAUAUGCUCAGCAUAAGUUAAUAGUUUACAAAUUCCAAAUUCAGUAUACUCCUAAUAUACCAUCAAUAUACCAGUUCCAUAAACAUAAGCCAUCAAAUUAAAGACAUUUUUUCCAUCAUGAUCAAAUAUUCAAUUUACACCUAAUAUGCGAUCAAUAUACCAGUUUCCCAUAAACACAAGCCAUUCAAUUCAAGACAUUUCUAUUAUGGCCAAAUAUUCAAUAUACAACAAAUAUGCUAUCAAUAAACCAAUUUUCCAUUUUUAUCAUUUAAAUUCAAAGAUUAGAUAUGCCAUGUUUCCCAUUUCACACAAAAAACAAGAGAUAUGUAAUGUUUGGAUUGUAUCAAAUGGUAAAAAUGAAAAAUUGACACAUUGAUGGCGUAUUAGGUAUACAACGAAUAUUCGUCCAUGAUGGUAAUAUCUUGAAUUCAAGGGCUUGUGUUUAUACUCUUGUAAAUGAGCCAUACUGUGGAUUUUUCUAUUCUUCUGUCUUCCAACCUAUGCGUGGGAAAGGAAUACAAACAUGCUAAGCAUAAAGCUUAAUAGUGCACACUUUAAUUUUAGUCACUAAGUGAAUAGCACUCUAUAGAAAUGUGUCUGACAAAUAUAGUAACACAAUCAUAUAUCAAAUAAGAAAAUCCCAAUCAAUAUACACACUAAAUCCAUAAAGGUAUCCCAUUCAGCCAUUAAUUUAAUCUUCCCACGUCAUUUAUUUAUUAACAAAAUUAAUUCUAACAUGAAUCACCAUUAAUAUACAAAUCAACAGAUAAACUGACAUUCAUUUCACAAAUAAAUGUCAAGUAUCAAUUCAGACAUCAUCAUGUCAUAUAUAUAUAUAGAUAUAGGCUUAAUAACUUGGACCCCUAUACAAUAGGCAAAUUGUUUGUUCGGCACCUCAAGAAAUUUUUUAGUUAGUUUAUACCUGCACUUCCAUUCCGUCAAGAAAAAGCUCCACACUCACCUUCACCAAAAAAUACUCCAACCUGCCUCCACUGUUUCAAAAAGGAAAACACUCCAUUCGAAGUGGGGUGGUUCGGAAUCCACUGGGCAUUUUAAGUUUUGCCAUCCCUAGUCUAUGGGAAAGGAUAAGAGAAGUAUUCAUUGGAGGAGUUGGAAGAACAUUUGUGAGACUAAACUAUGAGGAGGUAUGGGAUUCAAAGAUAUGUUUGCAUUCUACAAAGCUUGUUUUGCUAAGGAGGUAGGGAUGGAGACUGCUAAAGAAUAAUAACUCUUUGGUAAUGUGCUAAAGGCAAGAUAUUAACCAACAACAAUUUCUUGGAUGCAAACCUCAGACAAAAUCCAUCAUUUACAUGGAGCAAUAUAUGGAGUGUGAAGGAUGUGGUGGAGGCUGGGGUAAGAUGCAGGGUGGGCAAUGGUAAAAGCAUCCAGGUAUGAGAUGAUAAAUGGGUUGCUAGCAAUGCUACAUAUAAAGGGCAAACCACAAGAGAUAACACAUGCACCAUUUUCUAGGUUAAUGAGUUAAAUAGAUACAGAAACUAAGCAGUGGAGAUGCAACUUGAACAAUAGCCUUUUUCUAAUCUUGGAGGAUGCUCAUAAAAUUCAUUGUCUUCCUAUUAGUGCACAUGUAUUAGAGGAUGAGCUGGUUUGAAAUUUGAAUAAAUACGGAGCAUACCCAGUCAAGAGUGGUUAUAACAUGACAUUGGCUAAUGCAAGGGAGAAUGUAGCUAUAUCAUAAACCACUCAAGAGGAAAAUGGGCUAGUUUUUCAAGAGGUUAUGGGGGAGAUUGCGAAGCACGGUUGGAAUCUUGCCUGGAACACGCAGGGAUACCUGGUUCUAGAGAAACAAAUUCAUACACGGACUGAAAUGUCGGAAAGAGGAUCAAAAGCAAUUCAUAACUUCAUACCUGACGGAAUGCAAAUCGCUAACACCAGCAAAGCCUCCUAGCCCUGAACCGAGAGUAGCUCUCUAGAAACCUGUGCAAGAACCGACAAUUAUAUUCUACUUUGAUGCGGCCGUUGAUAUAGAACAAAUAGUAGGAGUUAGUGGGCAUCGUGGACAGAAAUCACCGUGGUGAAAGGACUUAGCAGCAUGAACGAUGAAAACUCCCAAUUGGACAUAACCACAUGCAAGCUACCAAGCACUGAAAUUUGCUAGUAUUAGGGCCUUUUGACAUAGAACCAGAAGGGGAUACUUACAAUUAUCGACGAUGGGCCAACUUUGGGACGUUUAGAUCCUGCAAAUUCGUGAAGGGAAUAAGACAGCACAUUUGUUAGUUAGCAAAGUUUUAGUUUAGGGGUUUCUGAAAACUGCUUUUGGCUCGAGGAAGAGGCAUACUAUUUGGCUAAUGCUGUUGGAAACAAAUGGUCCUUUCUCUAAUUAAUUAAGCUAAACCAAUAUUUAGGUUAAAAUAUGUUCCUAGUCCCUGUAAUAUUUAUACAUUUGAAAUCUAACCUCUCUAUUUUUAUUUUUAAGAUUUUAAUUUUUUUAUUUUUCACUUUUCAAAUUUUAGAUCCAAUGAUUAACCCGGUUAACCCAGUUAAAAAUUUACUAUUAUGACAUUUUGAAGGAAAGAAAUACUCAUUUAGUAACUAUGUAAUAAAAAAAUAAUAUUGAAUUAAACCUAAAUUUGAAGAAAAUUUUAACUAUAUCAAUAAUUGAACUUACAUUUUUCUAAAUUUAAAAAAUAUAAAUAUCAAAAAAAAAAGUAAAAUUACUAAAUUUUAAAUGUGCAAACUCGAAAUGUUAUUAUAAAUAAUAAUAUUAUUUGGCAUAAGAUAUUAUUUAGUCUUUUAACUUGGGAACUUUUUUCAACUUAGUCCUUAAACUUUUUUUAAUCCACAUUAUCAUUAGAGCUGGACAAACUUUUUUAGUUUUGGUCAUGGCAUUUUAAGAUUGUGCAAAUCAUAACAAAUUUAGGGACUAAAUUAAAAAAAUUACCAAAUUUAGGAUUAAAUGGUGUCUUUUUGCCAUUAUCAGCAAAUAUACUCUAAACUUAAGGACAAACUAGGAAUUUCGUAUUAUAGAUUUUGCCUUUAUGCGUUCACGUCGUUGAGGAAAACCCAAAAAAACGAGAGUGAGACAUAAAAGGAAAAAGAAGAAAAAUACAAGAGAGAAAACGAAGGAAAAAAAGUGUUGCAAAGGCGAAGGAGUGAUUGUUAAUGUUGGAUGUAAUUUCCUUGCAUUGCGAGAAGGAGAGGUUUAAAGGUCUGCCAUUGUAUAGCUUUUCUUCUGCAAUGGCGUUUUGCUUCAUUGUGACCUCUUCCCUCACCCGUUCAUUUCCUAUAAAAACGAAUUAAAUUUCAUAUAAAAAAGGCAUUUUGAUAACAAAUUCUCCGCUGCUGUAGAGAAAAGGGAGAGAUACAUUUGGUACGGUUAGAGAGAGGAGCGAGCGAGGGAGAGAAACAGAGAGAGAGAGGGGGGGAAGAGCUAGGAGGGUGAAAGUGAGGCAGGGAUUUGGAGGAAAACUUGGGAUGGCAAUUUGUUUCGCAUUGUCUUGUGGAAG